CUAUACAAUGUGUAAACAAACCCACGUGUGGUUAUUUUACUUUACUUCCCGGUUACAUAACGAUGAAGCUUCUUAUAAUGUAAACAACGGCAGAAACAACAAUCGCUAAAGGUAGCGAAUUGGACUUUUCACCCAGACCUUGCAUAUUUCUCAUUGCCUGACACCAUGCCCGUUGGUCCCGAUGGAUUUCGUGUGCCAAAUGCUAAUGAAGGUGACUCGAAAAAUAAAUUAGAAUGGUUGGUGGGGCCAU